CGGCCGGCUUCAGCGAAAGCUGCAGGCCGUGGCGUCGGUGAUCCUGGGUCAUCAGCUAGAAACGUUCCCUUCGCGAAGGGUUCAGAGGAAGAAUGAGAUUUCUUCACGGCUGGAGAGCAUGAUCCAGGUACUCUGGCGGGCGAAAUGUAAAGACACCUACGUGCCAUGGCUGACGUUGCGCAGGAACAUCAUAGAGAGAGAGGAUUUGAAAAGAUUCGCCACAGAUUCCCUGAGCCCCUGGCGUGACUGCUUAUUGCACUGAAGGCAGGAGGCAGCCCCUGCUGCUGCCUCACGAAGGAUGCGAGCGAAGAAAAACAAAAUCCAAGCUGGCAGAAGGGGAUUGAUCCUUGAGAGCAGGAGGCUUCAAUCCACUCUUCUACUGAGUCCCAUCUAAAAGAUACCAGGCUUUACCACCGAAAGCAACACUGUCUGCAUUUAGCUGACCUCAAACUGGAGAACAAGUCAUGGC